rnacentral:lncRNA from 1 species
CUAAAGAGGAAGGUGGAGCCUCCUUUUGAAUUUUGAAUGUGCAUGGCAUGAAGUGGGAAACAUGUGAUCUUCAAGAUUUGGCUUCUUGAAUAAGGAAGAGGCAAUUAGGGGGGACUUUCGGCUGCCUAAACUUGUUUUCGGAAGCUGGACUUUCGGCUCUGGAGCAAACUUUCGGCCGCCGAAGGUGCCGCCGAAGAUG